rnacentral:rRNA from 1 species
GGGGAAUUUUCCGCAAUGGGCGAAAGCCUGACGGAGCAAGACCGCGUGAGGGAGGAAGGCCUACUGGUUGUAAACCUCUUUUGAUAGGGAAGAACACAAUGACGGUACCUAUCGAAUCAGCCUCGGCUAACUCCGUGCCAGCAGCCGCGGUAAUACGGAGGAGGCAAGCGUUAUCCGGAAUUAUUGGGCGUAAAGCGUCCGUAGGUGGUUUAGUAAGUCUGCUGUUAAAGCGCGGGGCUUAACUCCGUAUCGGCAGUGGAAACUACUAGACUAGAGUGUGGUAGGGGUAGAGGGAAUUCCCAGUGUAGCGGUGAAAUGCGUAGAUAUUGGGAAGAACACCGGUGGCGAAAGCGCUCUACUGGGCUACAACUGACGCUGAUGGACGAAAGCUAGGGGAGCGAAAGGGAUUAGAUACCCCUGUAGUC